GCCACGAUAGUGUAGUCGGCAGCACGGGGGAUUGUGGCUCCCCAGACCCGAGUUCAAAUCUCGGUCGUGGCC
rnacentral:tRNA from 1 species